rnacentral:lncRNA from 1 species
AAUUAAACAGUAUCGCUUUUAUUUGCAGGUCGUUUAUUUUGUUUUAAAGACUGACUGUCCCAGUUGUUGAUGUGUGUUUGUAAUUUUUCCACAUCUUAUUUUGAGCAGCUUUGGGUGGUAAUGUUAUUGUUUACAAAUUGAAGCAACUGAUUCUAGUGGAACAAAUGAAAAAAGAAACCGUUGAGCACACGACAGUGCAAAGAACGUUCCUUUGCAAAUCUGCAAUUUAAGGAUUUUGUUCCUCAUAAAUGGCAUAGUUGAAAGAGCUUAUACACUGCUUACUUACCCUGCCAAAUGCUCUGCUUUGAAGUAUUGGGUUAUGUGAAAACAUUGAGCAUUGUACUUACCUUAUCUAGGCUGUGAAACUGUCCUACAUACCAGAGGAAUCAUAAAAACAAAAACCUCACUGGCAGCAAGCUGCUGAAUAACAAGAGUCUAGAGGACAUAUUUGUGGGCUGCACAGAUAUUUUAGGAAUUUCAGAAAUUAGAACAGAAGCCAAAAUGAUUUACAUUGGUGUUGGCAAAGAUCCCUUUAAACAGUCUGGGAAAGGGGGUUGGGAAGAGGAUGGAGCUUGACUAUCCAGAAGAAAGUGAGUAGUGGGAGGCCCAGGUGCCAGCUACCUGCCCUGGGCCACAGUCUUUCCAGUAAUAGGUUGUCACAUUGCCUCAUCAGGUGGGUUUCUUGCUAUUCCCAAGAAGAACCUCACAGGCCACAUCUUUGGGGGUAGCUGGCAUACUGGAUUACUCAUUUCCCAAGCAAGCCAUCCUCCUUGGGUUACGGGGUGUGAGAUUCGUGUGUGUGCACACAGUUUUUGUGCCAUUUUUUAACCACCUGGCAAUACAGUCCACUGAGUGAUGUUCUUUACUGUUGGAAAGAAAUGGUUAAGCUGUUCACGCAGUCAGAAGAUGUAAAGAAUGUAUAUUGUCAUUCUUGCCACUUUAUCCUAUAGGCUGACAAGAUGUAACAUCAAGGUGGAUGCAUUUUUCUAAGUGUGUUAAAAGUCUAUCGACACAGAGAGUGGACUUUCCUUCCAGGUCGCAAGCCCCGCUAAAACUGCUUUGAUGAACUCCCCAGCCAACCCUCCCCUGCCCCAAAACGACUGGUAGACAUUAGAAUCAUAGUUAUCCAAGUCUUUUACCUCUGAGAUAUUUAAUUCUAUGAAAAUUGAUGAUAAUUUUCAACUUCUAAAUAGGUAACUCGACUGAAACAUAAUCAAAACUGGUAAACAAUGAAACUGUGGCUCUUAAACCAAGCCAUGCAUGCCGUGCAUUUGUAUUGAAAUGUCUCUAUGAUACGAAGCCAAAUAUUCAAUGUAACAUACUUAAUAUCCAAAGGUGGAAACAAAAGAAUGUAGAGAUCUAGUGUUAAGAGUUCCAUUUGCUUCAAUUAAUUAUUUACCUUCCUGUGG